AUGCCGGCACCCUCAAUAGGCGCUAACGUCCUGGCACAUGGCUCUACAGUUUUCCGGAGCGAGGUUUUCUCCCUGUACUGUGAGCCAUUCCCAGACCCCCUCUCCGUCACACCUCACCAAUCCGGCGUCCCGAAGAGUGGCAAGCGAAUCCACCCCCUCCCCCCCUCUCCCGGGGAAGAGAGCAGCCCUGGUGCCCGAGCAGCGCGACGCGGCACUGCGUGGGCAGCAGGCUCUAGCGAGAGGAGAAACAAGCGUGGCAGCGCAGUCUUGCCACAUCAAGAAGUGGACGAGACGAAGCUCACCGCAUGGCAGCCUCUGCGAUGGGUCUGCAGCUCUCUCUCUCCAGUGGAGAAGAGUGCGAGCUGUACUGUAAUUCUAUUUUACUGUGCGAGAUCUUAACACAGAAGAGAUCUCACAUAUGGAUAAGAUCAGCUUUGCCACUGACCAGUAAUAUGCGCAUGAAGUAACGUCAUGCAGAAAACAGAGAGCACUUACGCACAGCAGCAUCUGGAGGUUUUGAUUAGGGGAACUAUAGAGGGCAUGAAGUGUUCUGAAAGAGGUUUCAAUUUAAGAACAAAAGUUUUAAAGUAAAUCCAGAGGUUGAGGCUUUUUCAUUGUGCUUUUGCUUUGCAAAAGAUGGUUUUACUGGCUAUUGCCCUUCUUGCUGUAAUUGCCCAUCAAUGAAUGUGCGCUUGGUGCUUUGAAGGACUGAGAUGCAUUAGAAACUGUAGAACUUCUAUGGGUCUGAGAAGGUGAAACAUUGUGAUAAGUGGUGCCUUUGCAUUCCCAGCUGUUUCUGGCUUUCAGAGUAUAAAGUGAAAGGGUGGAUCCCUCCUGUUUACUGUAGGAUUCCCUUUUCUUCUUCUGCGCCACACUGCACAGAAACAGCACACAGCACACAGCACACAGCACACAGCACACAGCACAAGGUGUCAGCUGAUAUGCACCUGCGCUGCGUGGCUUCAGGUCCCCUAGGGCAGACUCUUGCAAAAGCACACCAGCCCUGAGCCCUGCCUCCCUGCUAGCAAGGUGAGCUCUCUUCUCUCGUGUUGAGUGUUGAGCCUCUUCAAUUUCCUGUUUUGCCUAAAAGUCAACACAUCUGUCUUAUUAGGCAGCACCCCC
rnacentral:lncRNA from 1 species